rnacentral:rRNA from 1 species
AGAGUUUGAUCCUGGCUCAGAACGAACGCUGGCGGCAUGCCUAACACAUGCAAGUCGAACGAGACCUUCGGGUCUAGUGGCGCACGGGUGCGUAACGCGUGGGAACCUGCCUUUAGGUUCGGGAUAACAGUUAGAAAUGACUGCUAAUACCGGAUGAUGUCUUCGGACCAAAGAUUUAUCGCCUUUAGAUGGGCCCGCGUUGGAUUAGCUAGUUGGUGGGGUAAAGGCCUACCAAGGCGACGAUCCAUAGCUGGUCUGAGAGGAUGAUCAGCCACACUGGGACUGAGACACGGCCCAGACUCCUACGGGAGGCAGCAGUGGGGAAUAUUGGACAAUGGGCGAAAGCCUGAUCCAGCAAUGCCGCGUGAGUGAUGAAGGCCUUAGGGUUGUAAAGCUCUUUUACCCGGGAUGAUAAUGACAGUACCGGGAGAAUAAGCUCCGGCUAACUCCGUGCCAGCAGCCGCGGUAAUACGGAGGGAGCUAGCGUUGUUCGGAAUUACUGGGCGUAAAGCGCACGUAGGCGGCUUUUUAAGUCAGGGGUGAAAUCCCGGGGCUCAACCCCGGAACUGCCCUUGAAACUGGAGAGCUAGAAUCUUGGAGAGGCGAGUGGAAUUCCGAGUGUAGAGGUGAAAUUCGUAGAUAUUCGGAAGAACACCAGUGGCGAAGGCGACUCGCUGGACAAGUAUUGACGCUGAGGUGCGAAAGCGUGGGGAGCAGACAGGAUUAGAUACCCUGGUAGUCCACGCCGUAAACGAUGAUAACUAGCCGUCCGGGCUCAUGGAGCUUGGGUGGCGCAGCUAACGCAUUAAGUUAUCCGCCUGGGGAGUACGGUCGCAAGAUUAAAACUCAAAGGAAUUGACGG